GCAGCAGGCGCGAAACCUUUACACUGCACGCCAGUGCGAUAAGGGGAUCCCAAGUGCGUAGGCAUAGAGCCUACGCUUUUGUCCACCCUAGGGUGGUGGACGAAUAAGGGCUGGGCAAGACCGGUGCCAGCCGCCGCGGUAAUACCGGCAGCCCGAGUGAUGGCCGAUCUUAUUGGGCCUAAAGCGUCCGUAGCUGGCCGCACAAGUCCAUCGGGAAAUCCACCUGCUCAACAGGUGGGCGUCCGGUGGAAACUGUGUGGCUUGGGACCGGAAGGCGCGACGGGUACGUCCGGGGUAGGAGUGAAAUCCCGUAAUCCUGGACGGACCGCCGAUGGCGAAAGCACGUCGCGAAAACGGAUCCGACAGUGAGGGACGAAAGCUAGGGUCUCGAACCGGAUUAGAUACCCGGGUAGUCCUAGCCGUAAACACUGCCUGCUAGGUGUGGCACCCACUACGAGUGGGUGCUGUGCCGUAGGGAAGCCGCUAAGCAGGCCGCCUGGGAAGUACGUCCGCAAGGAUGAAACUUAAAGGAAUUGGCGGGGGAGCACUACAACCGGAGGAGCCUGCGGUUUAAUUGGAGUCAACGCCGG
rnacentral:rRNA from 1 species